rnacentral:rRNA from 1 species
ACGGGAGGCAGCAGUGGGGAAUAUUGCACAAUGGGGGAAACCCUGAUGCAGCAACGCCGCGUGAAGGAUGAAGGCCCUUGGGUCGUAAACUUCUGUUCUAAGGGAAGAUAAUGACGGUACCUUAGGAGCAAGUCCCGGCUAACUACGUGCCAGCAGCCGCGGUAAUACGUAGGGGGCAAGCGUUAUCCGGAAUUAUUGGGCGUAAAGCGUGCGUAGGCGGGACAGUAAGUCAGAUGUGAAAUAUGCCGGCUCAACUGGCAGACUGCAUUUGAAACUGCGGUUCUUGAGUGAAGUAGAGGUAAGCGGAAUUCCUAGUGUAGCGGUGAAAUGCGUAGAUAUUAGGAGGAACAUCAGUGGCGAAGGCGGCUUACUGGGCUUUAACUGACGCUGAGGCUCGAAAGCGUGGGGAGCAAACAGGAUUAGAUACCCUGGUA